CUCCAAAUUUAAUUCAAUAAAUCAUGAUUCAUACAAUCACUUUUAUAAAAUAAUGUCAAUAAAUUUAAAUUUUAAAUAUUAAUACUUGAAAUUCUUUCAGUCAUCUCACAUUAUCACAUCCUUUAUAAAAAAAAAUUAAUAAUAAAGAUUGAGCCUUCAAUAAGGAUAUAUUAACCUCAAUAAAAUAAAAAUAUGAACUUGUGUAUGGUUGUUGAGAACUUGAACCAUUGUUAAGUAGGACAACUCAAUUUAUUUUUGGAAAAAACAAACGAAGAGCCAGAUGAUAUGAUUAAUAAUAUAUAAUUAUAUAUUCCUCGAAACCCUUAAAAGCAAUAGACUAAUAGAUUAAGAGAAUGAAGCCAAAAUGCAAAACGUGUAGGGAAUAUUUAAGUGAAAAAUUACAAAAGCUACAUAUCAAAAAAAUUGAGUCCUUAAUUUGGGAUAAGGUUGAAGCCUAAGCCAUCAAGUUUAGAUAAACAUCUUCAGAUACAUUUAAUUUCUCUCACAAAGUUCCUUCCUCUUUGGGUUUUCCCAAGUCUAAAGCUUCCUUCAAAAUAUCCCACCAUAUUUUACAAGUAUUAACUUUUGGUUGGGUUUAAAAAAAAAAAACAAUUUUUUAUAAAAAAAAAUUAUAAAUAUUAAAAUUAAAAUUUUUUAAUUUUUUAAAAAAUAAUUAUAUAAAUUAAUCAUGAGGUUGACAAAAAGUGAACUUAGAAACUGACAAACCAAAUUUCCUGCAAUAAUUGUGUUAAAUUUGGUAUGGGUCACAUUUCUUUUCCAAACCCAUAGAUUUUUUUAAUCUUAUUUUAUACGGCCAACAUUUAUGCUAUCGAUAUGCUAAAGUUGAUAUGAAAAAAUCAAGGGAAAUUUUUUUUUAAAAAUUAUAUAUUGGUUGGUUGAUGUGGGAUAUGUCGUCACUCUCAUAAAUGAUUGAAACAAGAAAGCUGAUUUAAAUAUAUUCGAUGGGGAUUUUUUUUUUUUUUUUUUUUAGAUUUUGAGGUAAAAAUUAUUUUGUGGAUCAAUUUCUGUUUUUGGUGGAAGAAUGAGAGCCUACCAAACAUGUUGUUCUAUGACAUUGUCCUUAUCUUUGGGUUUCUAUGGAUGAGGGAAAGUGGGGAAUAAGGAUCAGCCUCAAAUGAUCUAAUACUAAAA
rnacentral:lncRNA from 1 species